GAGGGUAUAGCUUAGUGGUAGAGUGCAUGGUUAUUAUUCAUGAAGUCCUGGGUUCAAUCCCCAGUACCUCUA
rnacentral:tRNA from 1 species